rnacentral:rRNA from 1 species
GGGGAAUUGUUCGCAAUGGGCGCAAGCCUGACGACGCAACGCCGCGUGGAGGACGAAGAUCUUCGGGUCGUAAACUCCUUUCGAUCGGGAAGAACGGCUUCGGGGUGAACAGCCCCGGAGAGUGACGGUACCGAGAGAAGAAGCCCCGGCUAACUCCGUGCCAGCAGCCGCGGUAAUACGGGGGGGGCAAGCGUUGUUCGGAAUUACUGGGCGUAAAGGGCGCGUAGGCGGCCAUCUAAGUCAGACGUGAAAUCCCCCGGCUUAACCUGGGAACUGCGUCUGAUACUGGACGGCUUGAGUAUGGGAGAGGGAUGUAGAAUUCCAGGUGUAGCGGUGAAAUGCGUAGAUAUCUGGAGGAAUACCGGUGGCGAAGGCGGCAUCCUGGACCAUUACUGACGCUGAGGCGCGAAAGCUAGGGGAGCAAAC